rnacentral:rRNA from 1 species
UACGGAGGGUGCGAACGUUGCUCGGAAUUACUGGGCGUAAAGCGCGUGUAGGCGGGACGAUAAGUCGGAAGUGAAAUCCCCGGGCUCAACCCGGGAACUGCUUUCGAAACUGCCGUCCUCGAGUACCGGAGAGAGUGGCGGAAUUCCUGGUGUAGAGGUGAAAUUCGUAGAUAUCAGGAGGAACACCGGUGGCGAAGGCGGCCACCUGGACGGUCACUGACGCUGAGACGCGAAAGCGUGGGGAGCAAACAGG